rnacentral:tRNA from 1 species
GGUGGCUCAGUGGUAGAGUGCUUGCCUUGCAUGCAUGAAGCCCUGGGUUUGAUUCCUAGUACCA